GACGAACGCUGGCGGCGUGCUUAACACAUGCAAGUCGAACGGAAAGGCCCUGCUUUUGUGGGGUGCUCGAGUGGCGAACGGGUGAGUAACACGUGAGUAACCUGCCCUUGACUUUGGGAUAACUUCAGGAAACUGGGGCUAAUACCGGAUAGGAGCUCCUGCUGCAUGGUGGGGGUUGGAAAGUUUCGGCGGUUGGGGAUGGACUCGCGGCUUAUCAGCUUGUUGGUGGGGUCGUGGCUUACCAAGGCUUUGACGGGUAGCCGGCCUGAGAGGGUGACCGGCCACAUUGGGACUGAGAUACGGCCCAGACUCCUACGGGAGGCAGCAGUGGGGAAUAUUGCACAAUGGGCGGAAGCCUGAUGCAGCAACGCCGCGUGCGGGAUGACGGCCUUCGGGUUGUAAACCGCUUUCGCCUGUGACGAAGCGUGUGUGACGGUAAUGGGUAAAGAAGCACCGGCUAACUACGUGC
rnacentral:rRNA from 1 species